rnacentral:rRNA from 1 species
UGGGGAAUUUUNCGCAAUGGGCGAAAGCCUGACGGAGCAAUACCGCGUGAGGGAAGAAUGCCUAUGGGUUGUAAACCUCUUUUUUCAGGGAGGAAUAAAAAGACGUGUACCUGAAGAAUAAGCAUCGGCUAANUCCGUGCCAGCAGCCGCGGUAAGACGGAGGAUGCAAGUGUUAUCCGGAAUCACUGGGCGUAAAGCGUCUGUAGGUGGUUUAAUAAGUCAACUGUUAAAUACUUGAGCUCAACUUCAAAAUCGCAGUCGAAACUAUUAGACUAGAGUAUAGUAGAGGUAAAGGGAAUUUCCAGUGGAGCGGUGAAAUGCGUAGAUAUUGGAAAGAACACCGAUGGCGAAAGCACUUUAUCUGGGCUAUUACUAACACUCAGAGACGAAAGCUAGGGUAGCAAACGGGAUUAGAUACCCCAGUAGUCCUAGCUGUAAACAAUGGAUACUAGAUGUUGAACAGAUCGACCUGUUCAGUAUCAAAGCUAACGCGU